rnacentral:rRNA from 1 species
AGCGAACGCUGGCGGUAGGCCUAACACAUGCAAGUCGAACGGCAGCACAGUAAUUGCUUGCUGUUACGGGGGGCGAAUGGCGGACGGGUCAGGUAUGUACCGUAAUCUUCUUUUUCGGUUGGGCUAACGUAGGGGAACCUACUCUAAUACAGGAUACGACGCACGGGUGAAAGCAGGGGAUCGUUGGACCGUGUGCGAUUGAAUGAGCCGAUGUCGGCUUAGCUAGUUGGCGGGGUAAAGGCCUACCAAGGCGGCGAUCGGUAGCUGGUCUGAGAGAAUGGUUCGCCACCUGGGAAGUGAGACUGGGACCAGACUCCUACGGGAGGCAGCAGUCGGGAAUAUUAGGCAAUGGGGGAGAGCCUGAUCCAGCCAUACCGCGUAGGUGAAGAAGGCGUUCGGGUUGGUAAGCCCUUAUGUUGGGAGAGAAAAGCAGCUGGUUAAUACCCCGCUGUUCUGACGGUACCCGGAGAAUAAGCACCGGCUAACUUCGUG